rnacentral:rRNA from 1 species
AACGAACGCUGGCGGCAUGCCUAACACAUGCAAGUCGAACGAUUGCCUUCGGGUGAUAGUGGCGCACGGGUGCGUAACGCGUGGGAAUCUGCCCUUAGGUUCGGAAUAACAGCUGGAAACGGCUGCUAAUACCGGAUGAUAUCGCGAGAUCAAAGAUUUAUCGCCUGAGGAUGAGCCCGCGUUGGAUUAGGUAGUUGGUGGGGUAAAGGCCUACCAAGCCGACGAUCCAUAGCUGGUCUGAGAGGAUGAUCAGCCACACUGGGACUGAGACACGGCCCAGACUCCUACGGGAGGCAGCAGUGGGGAAUAUUGGACAAGGGGCGCAAGCCUGAUCCAGCAAUGCCGCGGGAGGGAUGAAGGCCCUAGGGUUGUAAAGCUCUUUUACCCGGGAAGAUAAUGACUGUACCGGGAGAAUAAGCCCCGGCUAACUCCGUG